rnacentral:pre_miRNA from 1 species
GUAGUACUCCCUCCGUCCGGAAAUACUUGUCAUCAAAAGGAAUAAAAGGGGAUGUAUCUAGAUGUAUAUUAGUUCUAGAUACAUCUUUUUUAUCCAUUUCGAUGACAAGUAUUUUCGGACGGAGGGAGUACUUG